rnacentral:rRNA from 1 species
AUUGAACGCUGGCGGCAUGCCUUACACAUGCGAGUCGAACGGCAGCACGGGAGCAAUCCUGGUGGCGAGUGGCGAACGGGUGAGUAAUAUAUCGGAACGUGCCCGGUCGUGGGGGAUAACGUAGCGAAAGCUACGCUAAUACCGCAUACGAUCUACGGAUGAAAGCGGGGGAUCGCAAGACCUCGCGCGAUUGGAGCGGCCGAUAUCAGAUUAGGUAGUUGGUGAGGUAAAGGCUCACCAAGCCGACGAUCUGUAGCUGGUCUGAGAGGACGACCAGCCACACUGGGACUGAGACACGGCCCAGACUCCUACGGGAGGCAGCAGUGGGGAAUUUUGGACAAUGGGCGCAAGCCUGAUCCAGCAAUGCCGCGUGC